AGUCUAUGCGGAAUAUUUCCUGCAAAGUUGUUGCUCGUUGCAGGAAAUGCUCGAGAUAAAAUCCAUCUUGUAUUAAUAAGAGGAUAUUUAAAAUUUCUGUUCUUCUGUUGAUUUUAUAUUAUGCGUUCUAUAAUAUAAAUCGUCUUUUAAUAGCGUACUUUUUAAAAUUAGUACUCGAUCUUCAAUUAAUGCAAAUUUCAACGAGAUUAACGAGUUGACGAAAGAAUGACAGCCCGAGGCUUAAAUUAUGCAGAUGGCUGCCGCCGUACACGAGUUGCGGAGCCGACUCUCGCCUAUCGACGUCGUGGUUCGCACAAAAGCAGCUCCACUGUUUUUCCUGGAGGAAGCAAUGCAUAUCGCGUAUUUCACGUCUCGCACUCAAGGGUAAAAAAGAAGUAUACACGGAGGGAAGAAGAAGACGCGGAAUAAAGGGAAGGAAUCGUUUUCAAGAAGCUGCUCAUCCGCAACGAGAUCCUUCAAAUCCUUAAAGCGUUUAAUAUCUCGUAAUAGAUAGAGCUCUAUAAAAAUCGAAAUCGAUGAUAGUACGAGUAUACUACGUUCUGUGAAGGGAAUUAAAUAAUUAAUCAAUUCCACAUAUUUCUCUGUUCAACUAGGAGCAGAGAACUUGGUAGUGUUGCGAGCAUGUGACAGUUACCGCAUGGAAUGUCAAAACCUAUGUGUAUCGCGGUAGACGAUAGAACAUGAAUUGUAAGACAUUUUCAGGAUUUUAUACCACAAACACGUUAUUCGUUAUAUUAUAAACCAUUAAAAUAGUGUGUAAUACAAAAUAACUGUAAUUAAAUAAUCAUGAAAGAAUCCGCUCCAACAGUACCUUCCUUCUUUUAUCAUAUUUUCUCCAUUUUCAUGAAACGUAUAUAACGGG
rnacentral:misc_RNA from 1 species